GCAUAACGCGAAGAACCUUACCUAGGCUUGACAUGCAUCUCUAAGCACGUGAAAGCGUGUGACCCUUCGGGGAAUUGCACAGGUGCUGCAUGGCCGUCGUCAGCUCGUGUCGUGAGAUGUUGGGUUAAGUCCCGCAACGAGCGCAACCCUUGUGACUAGUUGCCAGCACGUCAUGGUGGGAACUCUAGUCAGACUGCCCAGAUCAACUGGGAGGAAGGUGGGGACGACGUCAGGUCAGUAUGGCCCUUACGCCUAGGGCUGCACACGUACUACAAUGCCCAGCACAAUGAGAACCGAGACCGCGAGGUGGAGGAAAUCUAAAAAACUGGGCCCAGUUCGGAUUGGAGCUGCAACUCGCCUCCAUGAAGUUGGAAUCGCUAGUAAUGGCGCACCAUCU
rnacentral:rRNA from 1 species